ACACAUGCAGUCGAACGGUAGCACAGAGGAGCUUGCUCUUNGGGUGACGAGUGGCGGACGGGUGAGUAAUGCCUGGGAAACUGCCCGAUGGAGGGGGAUAACUACUGGAAACGGUAGCUAAUACCGCAUAACGUCUUCGGACCAAAGUGGGGGACCUUCGGGCCUCACACCAUCGGAUGUGCCCAGGUGGGAUUAGCUAGUAGGUGGGGUAAUGGCUCACCUAGGCGACGAUCCCUAGCUGGUCUGAGAGGAUGACCAGCCACACUGGAACUGAGACACGNUCCAGACUCCUACGGGAGGCAGCAGUGGGGAAUAUUGCACAAUGGGCGCA
rnacentral:rRNA from 1 species